rnacentral:rRNA from 1 species
UACAGGAGGGGCAAGCGUUGUUCGGAAUUACUGGGCGUAAAGGGCUCGUAGGUGGCCAACUAAGUCAGACGUGAAAUCCCCAGGCUACAACCGUUGGGAACUGGCGUCUUGAUACUGGAUGGCUUGGAUUCGGGAGAGGAAUGCGGGAAUUCCAGGUGUAGCGGUGAAAUGACGUAGAUAUCCGGAGGAACGACCGGUGGCGAAGGCGGGCUCCUGGGCCGAUCUGGACGCUGAGAGCGAAAGCUGGGGAGC